rnacentral:snRNA from 1 species
GUGCUUUGGUUUCUCUUCAGAUCAUACAAACCCUUCCGUUUUCAUUAAGGGUUUCUGCGUACAGGAACAACUCUGAGUCUUAUCCAAUUUUCUGAGGCCAUGUUGGGCAAGGUC